AGGAUUCCCCUAGUAACUGCGGGUGAAGCGGGAAAAGCUCAAAUUUAAAAUCUGGUAGUCUUUGGCUGCCCGAGUUGUAAUCUAGAGAAGCAUUAUCUGCACUGGACUGUGUAUAAGUAUCCUGGAAUGGAUCAUCAUAGAGGGUGAGAAUCCCGUCUUUGACACAGACUCCCUUUGCCUUGUGAUGUGCUCUCAAAGAGUCGAGUUGUUUGGGAAUGCAGCUCUAAAUGGGUGGUAAAUUCCAUCUAAAGCUAAAUAUUGGCGAGACCGAUAGCGAACAAGUACCGUGAGGGAAAGAUGAAAAGAACUUUGGAAAGAGAGUUAAACAGUACGUGAAAUUGCUGAAAGGGAAACGCUUGAAGUCAGUCGCGUUGGCUGGGGAUCAACCUUGCUUGGCUUACUUCCCAGUUGACGGGUCAGCAUCAGUUUUGACCGGUGGAUAAAGGCUAGGGGAAUGUGGCACCCGGGUGUGUUAUAGCCCUUGGUCACAUACAUCGGUUGGGACUGAGGAACUCAGCCCUUGUGCUUAGGAUGCUGGCAUAAUGGCUUUAAGCGACCCGUCUUGAAACACGGACCAAGGAGUCUAACAUGCCCGCGAGUGUUUGGGUGGAAAACCCGAGCGCGUAAUGAAAGUGAAAGUUGAGAUCCCUGUCGUGGGGAGCAUCGACGCCCGGACCAGACCUUUUGUGACGGAUCCGCGGUAGAGCGUGUAUGUUGGGACCCGAAAGAUGGUGGACUAUGCCUGAGUUCUGAAACCUGUGGCACUAGCUAGUCCUGAGUUGUGUAGGUGGCAAUUUCUUCCGAACGUAUAUAUUUAGGCUACGCGAGUAGAGAAACCCCCCCUCUC
rnacentral:rRNA from 1 species